UACGUAGGUGGCAAGCGUUGUCCGGAUUUACUGGGCGUAAAGAGCGCGCAGGCGGUCGUUCAAGUCGCGUGUGAAAGCCCCCGGCUCAACUGGGGAGGGUCACGCGAUACUGAUCGACUCGAAGGCAGGAGAGGGUAGUGGAAUUCCCGGUGUAGUGGUGAGAUGCGUAGAUAUCGGGAGGAACACCAGUGGCGAAGGCGACUACCUGGCCUGUUUCUUGACGCUGAGGCGCGAAAGCUAGGGGAGCAAACGGGG
rnacentral:rRNA from 1 species